GACGAACGCUGGCGGCGUGCUUAACACAUGCAAGUCGAACGGUAAGGCCCUUCGGGGUACACGAGUGGCGAAUGGGUGAGUAACACGUGGGUGAUCUGCCCUGCACUUCGGGAUAAGCCUGGGAAACUGGGUCUAAUACCGGAUAGGACCACUGCCUGCAUGGGUGGUGGUGGAAAGCUUUUGCGGUGUGGGAUGGGCCCGCGGCCUAUCAGCUUGUUGGUGGGGUGAUGGCCUACCAAGGCGACGACGGGUAGCCGGCCUGAGAGGGUGACCGGCCACACUGGGACUGAGAUACGGCCCAGACUCCUACGGGAGGCAGCAGUGGGGAAUAUUGCACAAUGGGCGCAAGCCUGAUGCAGCGACGCCGCGUGAGGGAUGACGGCCUUCGGGUUGUAAACCUCUUUCAGCGCCGACGAAGCGCAAGUGACGGUAGGUGCAGAAGAAGGACCGGCCAACUACGUGCCAGCCGCCGCCGUAACGC
rnacentral:rRNA from 1 species